UCCCUGGUAGCUCAGAUGGCAAAGCAUCUGCCUGCAAUGCAGGGGACCCUGGUUCGAUCCCUGGGUAGGGAA
rnacentral:tRNA from 1 species